rnacentral:tRNA from 1 species
UUUAUAGUAGUUAAAAAGAUAACAAAAGACUUAAAAUCUUUAAUUGGAAGUGAAAUUCUUCCCUAUAAU